rnacentral:rRNA from 1 species
UACGUAGGUGGCAAGCGUUGUCCGGAUUUACUGGGCGUAAAGGGCUGGUAGGCGGCCAACUAAGUCGGAUGUGAAAUCCCCAGGCUUAACCUGGGAACUGCAUCCGAUACUGGUCGGCUUGAAUCCGGGAGAGGGAUGCAGAAUUCCAGGUGUAGCGGUGAAAUGCGUAGAUAUCUGGAGGAAUACCGGUGGCGAAGGCGGCAUCCUGGACCGGCAUUGACGCUGAACAGCGAAAGCUAGGGGAGCAAACGGG